AUGGCCCAGAAGGAGGAGAGUUCUGCUCCGCCGCAGCAUGCAGCGGCGGACGCACCGUCAUUGGAGACGGUGAUCCAGAUGCACGUCCAGGGCACCGCUUACGAAGAAUCCGACCGGCCGGCCGAGACAGCCACCGUCAAGAAGCAUCGGCUUGGCGACGCGUACGUCUCUUUCAUCCUGGCCAUGCCAAUGGAGAAGCCGGAGUACCUAGACACGCCGUCCUACCUCUGGCAGGAAAACAUGGCGGAGAUCCUGGGCGUGACGGAGGACUGCCUCGAGGAGCAAAGGCAGCUGUACAAGGAACGCGUCCUCCGUUCCCAGAGGAUCCACGAUCACUACCUGAAGUUCCAGGUCCGGGUCCGCGACGAGUGGCUCCGGAAGGGCUAUGUCGAGGUGGACGACGACUACUUCACCGUCACGGCAACAAUGUGGAAAGAGGCCAUGCCAAUGUGGGAAGACCCUGCGCUCACAUUCAAAGACUACGACUACGAGGAGCAGGCCAGGUGCUUCCUCGAUCUAUGA
rnacentral:rRNA from 1 species